UUGGGGCAGCAGGACGGUGUGUGUGGGACUGAGGCAGAAUAAACUCCAGUGUGUGUGUUCGUGGUGAUGAAGGAACAUGUCACCCAGUGCAGCAGUGCGGCUCAUGUGUGCUCAGGAUUAAAGAUACACAGUAAAGCAGAUAACUGCCCUGAUCCUAUCACACUAGUUUAACCAACAGCCUGCUAAAACCAAGUUAACUGAUUGGAGAACCAGAGUUUCCACCCACAUUCCACAACUUCACAGGGCUAUGCACGUGUGUGUGUGUGUGUGUGUGUGUGUGUGUGUGUGUGUGUGUGUGUGUGUGUGUGUGUGUGUGCAUAUAAGAGAUGAUGACUGUGGGGAAAACAGGGGACUUUCCUACUGAGUAAUAAAGAGAGGUAGAGCGAUGAGAACAGAAAGAGGAGGGAGGAAGAUGAGGCUACAGCAUGGGAGAAAAGAGGAGGAGUGGAGAGGAGGGCAGCUGGAAAGAAAGAAAGAAGGCGAAGUGGAAGACAAGACCAAAUAAUGAAAUACUGAAGUGGUGUCCGUCUCUGUGCGGGUUCCGUGGUCGCGCUCUGCUUGUCCCUCUGCCACCGAGAGGUACCUUUUCUCUGUCCCGGGGGAUUUACAGGCUUUAAAGCUGAAGUCACGCUUCAUGAGGCUGUGGCACAGUGAGAGAGGGGCCUGAUGAGC